rnacentral:rRNA from 1 species
GUGCGAAGGUAGCAUAAUCACUUGUUCUUUAAAUGAGGACUCGUAUCAACGGCACUACGAGGGCUAUACUGUCUCCUUUUUCUAAUCAGUGAAACUGAUCUCCCCGUGAAGAAGCGGGGAUCAAAAUAUAAGACGAGAAGACCCCAUGGAGCUUUAAACUCAUCACGCACCUCUGUGCCCUCAUACCCUCAAACACAAGAGAUCUACGUGCUAGUUUUAGGUUGGGGGGACCACGGAGUAUAACUUAACCUCCAUAACAAAUGGGCUAACACCCUUAUCCAUGAGACACAGCUCUAAGAAUUACUAAACUAAUGCUUAUGACCCGAUAUUCGAUCAAUGAACCAAGUUACCCUGGGGAUAACAGCGCAAUCUACUUCAAGAGCCCAUAUCGACAAGUAGGUUUACGACCUCGAUGUUGGAUCAGGGUAU